CCUACGGGCGGCAGCAGUGGGGAAUAUUGCACAAUGGGGGAAACCCUGAUGCAGCGACGCCGCGUGAGCGAUGAAGUAUUUCGGUAUGUAAAGCUCUAUCAGCAGGGAAGAAAAUGACGGUACCUGACCAAGAAGCCCCGGCUAACUACGUGCCAGCAGCCGCGGUAAUACGGAGGGGGCAAGCGUUAUCCGGAUUUACUGGGUGUAAAGGGGGCGCAGACGGCAAUGCAAGCCAGGCGUGAAAGCCCGGGGCCCAACCCCGGGACUGCUCGUGGAACUGCAUGGCUGGAGUACAGGAGGGGCAGGCGGAAUUCCUGGUGUAGCGGUGAAAUGCUUAGAUAUUAGGCGGAACACCGGUGGCGAAGGCGGCCUGCUGGACUGUGACUGACGUUGAGGCCCGAAGGCGUGGGGAGCAAACAGGAUUAGAUACCCCAGUAGUC
rnacentral:rRNA from 1 species